AAAAAAUCCUUAAAUCGUUGAUGAUCUACGUUUUAGUUAAACAACUGUUUAGGCUUAUUGCACGGUUAUUGUGAGGUAGUAUUCAUAAACCCAUUUUAACAGCACAAUAACAAAUAUGCACUUGAUGAACUGUUUAGGCUUAUUAUGUUGGCAUUAUUGACAAAUCAUAGACAAAAACGUGGCUGAACUUUAAAUUAAAAAAAAGUUUGACAGCCAUUUGACAGCCGCUCUAGAAGGGAAAUCGUAAAUUUAGAAACUAGAUGGAUGGUUAUAUUGUUUUAUUUAACCGGUGAUCUGAAUUCAUAUUAAUAUUUGAAUAAGAAUAGCGUGUGUGGCACAUUCAUAAAUAAAGAUCGUGUGGCGGGUGAUUUUAUUUUAACCUCGGCGACCGGCGACCACCAUACAAUUGAUACAAUCCGCGCGUUGUGAGCCUUUCUUAACUUUCCAACAUUGACACUAUAAUAUAAUCCGCAUCUAUGAUCGUUGAAGACAAACCAGAUUCUGACAAUUCCAUCUUCAGCUUGGGACCGAGCCAGCAGAGGGAGCAGCAAACUGUAACAAAUGAAAACUAUAAACUACCAUGAUUUUGAGCAAAUGUAAAUAAAUAUUGUUAAUAAGAGGAAA
rnacentral:lncRNA from 1 species